AUGAAGGAUGUUAGAGCCUGGGAUGCUGAGGCAGGAUAACUGUUAGUUACCUGGAAAAGUCUACUACCUAAAGCACUCUUAAAAGAAAUGGACCAUAAUUGCAACAAAACAUUUAGAACAGGAUUUUAAAGUUCCAAUUCAAGCCAAAUAAAACGAAAAGUAUGGAAAUAAACAUUCAAGGGAUCCUGCACACACCCUAGAGAUUAGUGGAAAGUAAACUCAGCGGAGCGUCUGGAACACCUCCACUAACUUCUUAAAAGAUGCUGCUGAUUCACUGAUUCUCAAAAAUUAUAAUUCAAUUUUCUCAGCUUUUAUCCUGUAACAAUCAAUUUGUAUAGUAAAUGAAAGCCAAAAGCAUAUUCGUUUUAUUUACAAGGAUGAUAAAAUAGAAACAUCAUUCAUCUAUUUCCAUUCCUGAACUUUCAUGCCUGAUUCCUCUUUAUACUCACUUUCAUCCUCUGUGGAUACUUUAAUAUCCAUUUUAAUCCCUCUGUGAGAAAUUCUGCUAAAUUACUUUACUCUGUAGGGUCAGAGUAUUCAAGAUAAAACAUUCCUGGAAAAAUGUAUUUCUACCAGGAAAAGACAGACUUAAAAAAGGAGGGGGAGACAGCAGGGUUAGAGGAAAACUGUGUGCCCACACUUUAGUAGAAAUUACCGAAACCACAGCAUGCAUGGGGAAAUCUCCUUCUAUGGAUGAAUUACUAUAAUUGGUUCUCUAUAUUACUUGAAUUUUUCAUUUGGGCUUUUAAGCUAUAUUUAGAUAAAAGAAUUUGGGAAAUAUUAAGCUGUACUGCCACAAAUAUGAAUCAAAUAAAACUAUAUUUCUAAAAACCACUG
ensembl:lncRNA novel transcript